ensembl:lncRNA
ACAGUCACACCAUGUGCACAGCCGAGAGGCAAGUUUUUACACCAUUUCUCACCAACGCAUGGCAUCUCUGCUUUCUGAGUGUGACCACGGGAGUGUGAGCCAGAAUGAAGAUGGGAAUUAAAAUGAGGAGAGGACGACCCACUUUACUGAGCACUUAUUAUGUGCCAGGAGUACAAGUCGGACAUGCCUGGGCCACAGCCUGGGUACCCCAUCCUACCAAUGGUGCUGGAACCUGCGGGUGGACUGCAUCGGGCCCUCUACUACCCUUACUACAAGAGGUGAAGACAUAUCUGGUAUCAUCUCCCAGGGCAUCAGAAGAACUAAAGCAGGACCUGCGUCUUGUACAUCAAGGUGACCAUAAGGUCCAAGGCCAAGAAUAUCAAAAGCACUCAAGAUCGUGUGCCAAUUCAUGUUUACAAGCCUUUGAUCCCUGUGCUCCAAACUCUGGAUGGUGUCACAGUUCAAAGAACUGAGUCCAGUUCACAAGAGUCAUUUCAAAAAGAUUUUAGUGAUAUAUUUCAAUUUGUAAUACUGUAAGAGUCUUUGCCAAGCACAGAAUACCUCUUUACCCCCCUCUUUUCCUGCCAUCUAUGUUUAAUGCAGUUAAUUAAAAAUUGUUUAUCAAUAUCAACUACACACUAAACAAGGCUCCUUGGACCACAGAUAUGGGACACACGAUUUCAUGGUCAGGACAAUCUCUGCCACAACAAAGUCCCCCAGACAAAUAUCCAACCCUGACCUGUGUGCCUCCUGUCAUCCUUUCUUUUCCCUUUCCCUCUAGUUCUUUAUUAUAAAGCCAAAAGAUUAGCCCAGUGACAAGUCAGACUGUUCCAGGAAGGCAGCAGAGAGAAAAAGCUGGGAAUCCUCAUGCAUAAUUAUUUAAUCCCAUAACAAAACUACAAUGCAUCUUGAUUAUGAUGUUGUGUUUUGAAGCCCUCAAUCAGAAUUCAAACAAACUCCCAUCCCUUUUGAGAAAUGAAAGAGUAGCCACUAACCCUCAGGCAGAGAAGGAAAUGAGAAGUUUGACAAGAAUGUAAAAACCACUGCCACCAUUUAUAAUUGGAUGUUCCUUGUAGCAGGUCAUUUGUGGCAUGCGUACUGUGGGUACACU